rnacentral:lncRNA from 1 species
AAAAAAAAAAGAUAGGACUUUGUUACUAUACUAUCUGAACGCUAUAUUUAUUUUAUUUUUUUAUUUUUUGGAGACGGAGUCUUGCUCUGUUCCCCAGGCCAGUGGCGUGAUCUCAGCUCACUACAACUUCCACCUCCCAGGUUCAAGCGAUUCUCCUGCCUCAGCCUCCUAAGUAGCUGGAACUAUAGGCGCGUGCACCACCACGCCUGGCUAAUUUGUGUAUUUUUAGUAGAGAUGGGGUUUCACCAUAUUAGACAGGCUGGUCUCGAACUCCUGAUCUCACGAUCCGCCCCCAUCCUCCGACUCCCAAAGUGCUGGGAUUACAGGCGUGAGCCACCUCACCUGGCCUAUAUUUUCAAAACUGCACAAGGCUCUUCUGUAGCAGGUUUUCUUGCAAAUUAUUU